GAUGAACGCUGGCGGCGUGCUUAACACAUGCAAGUCGAACGGAAAGGCCAGUGCUUGCACUGGUACUCGAGUGGCGAACGGGUGAGUAACACGUGGGUGAUCUGCCCUGCACUUCGGGAUAAGCCUGGGAAACUGGGUCUAAUACCGGAUAGGACAAUGGUUUGGAUGCCGUUGUGGAAAGUUUUUUCGGUGUGGGAUGAGCUCGCGGCCUAUCAGCUUGUUGGUGGGGUAAUGGCCUACCAAGGCGUCGACGGGUAGCCGGCCUGAGAGGGUGUACGGCCACAUUGGGACUGAGAUACGGCCCAGACUCCGACGGGAGGCAGCAGUGGGGAAUAUUGCACAAUGGGCGCAAGCCUGAUGCAGCGACGCCGCGUGGGGGAUGACGGCCUUCGGGUUGUAAACUCCUUUCGCUAGGGACGAAGCGUAUUUGUGACGGUACCUGGAGAAGAAGCACCGGCUAACUACGUG
rnacentral:rRNA from 1 species